GAUGAAGAACGUAGCGAAAUGCGAUAAGUAAUGUGAAUUGCAGAAUUCAGUGAAUCAUCGAAUCUUUGAACGCAUCUUGCGCUCCUUGGUAUUCCUUGGAGCAUGCCUGUUUGAGUAUCAUGAGCAAAUCUCAAAGUCAAUUCCUUUUGUUAAUUCAAUUGGUUUUGCUUUGGACUUGGAGGUCUUGCAGAUUUCACAGUCUGCUCCUCUUAAAUGCAUUAGCUGGAUCUCAGUAAUUAUGCUUGGUUCCACUCGGCGUGAUAAGUAUCACUCGCUGAGGACACUGUUAAAAAGGUGGCCAGGAAAAUACUGAUUGAACCGCUUCUAACGGUCUAUUAAGUUAGACAAUUACCCUUAAGUUUGAUCUCAAAUCAGGUAGGACUACCCGCUUAACUUAAGCAUAUCAAUAAGCGGAGGA
rnacentral:misc_RNA from 1 species